rnacentral:lncRNA from 10 species
CUUGAGGGCUGUCAGUGCUGGUGGCAGACUUUACACCGCAGCAGGCAGUGCCCACAGAAAUGGGCUUGAGGAUGGACCACAAGAACUGCUCAAAGCACCUGGACUAGUAACAAGAGAUGACAAGCUGAGGCCUACGAUGAUUUAGGCUGAGGAUACCAUCUGCCUGAGAGAACCCUCCUCUUGGAGUCUUGCUCCUCAAAAUGUGACUUCAGAGCCAGCAGCAUUGGCAUCCCUGGAAGCGUGGUACCAAUGCAUUCUUGGACCUCAACUCAGACCUAUUCAAUCCAACUCUCCAGUUUAGCAAGAUCCCCAGGUGAUUUUUAUGUACAUUAAAGUUUGAAAGCAAUACUCUAAAGAACCAGAAAUGCCAGACCAGGGUCCAACAGGGAAACUGAAUGCCUAAGACAUUCAUUCAUUCAUUUACCCAUUCAAUAAAUACUUAAUAAGCAUCUACUGGGUGCACAGAGUUGUGCUAGGCAUUGGGGAUAAAAUGGUGAAUGACUCAGAUUAGGUGUGCAGACUGCAGAGGAUGAGAUGAAUGUUCCCUACCUGGCCUGUUUCAGCCCACCUCCCAGAGUUGGGGGGAGGGGCUUGAGUUGGGAACAGGGGUACAUUUGACUGAAGAAUCUCUCAAGA